UACGUAGGGUGCGAGCGUUGUCCGGAAUUAUUGGGCGUAAAGAGCUCGUAGGCGGUCUGUUACGUCGAUCGUGAAAACUUGGGGCUUAACCCUGAGCUUGCGGUCGAUACGGGCAUGACUGGAGUUCGGCAGGGGAGACUGGAAUUCCUGGUGUAGCGGUGAAAUGCGCAGAUAUCAGGAGGAACACCGGUGGCGAAGGCGGGUCUCUGGGCCGAUACUGACGCUGAGGAGCGAAAGCGUGGGGAGCGAACAGG
rnacentral:rRNA from 1 species